rnacentral:rRNA from 1 species
UACGGAGGGUGCAAGCGUUAGUCGGAAUUACUGGGCGUAAAGGGUGCGUAGGCGGAUAUAUAAGUCAGAUGUGAAAUUCCAAGGCUCAACCUUGGCGCUGCAUCUGAAACUAUAUAUCUAGCGGAAUGGCGGAGAAAACGGAAUUCCACGUGUAGCGGUGAAAUGCGUAGAUAUGUGGAAGAACACCUGUGGCGAAAGCGGUUUUUCUAGCCUACUCCGGACGCUGAGGCACGAAAGCAAGGGGAUCAAAACAGG